CCCCAGGGUUCCACUGCUGCCUGGCGCUACUCUGCAUUCCCAGGCAGUGGGAGGCACUCGUGCCUGGAUCUGGCUCACAGCCCCCGAACAAGCCCACUCUCCCCAGUACCCCAAUGCAUAAAGUGUAGGUGCUCACACAGCGACAAGUCGCAGAAAUCUUCAGUCUGCCCCAAGCCCGCAGGAACACUCACUGGAAGGCCCAUCCACCGCCAUCUCGGUGCCACCCCUGAGUUGGGAGACGUCACCCCAAGCAUCAGCUGUGAUAAUUUCUGGACCAUAAAGAACGCUUCUAAACCAACAGCACUGCCAUCCGGUUAUCUGCUCAUCUUGUGGCUCUGGCCACAGCAGACCCAAAGUCCUACCUUUGAUGGACCUAGAGAGAGAGAGAGAGGCAGAGGAGGAGGGAGAAGCAGGCUCCACGCUGGGAGCCC